ACAUGUAGUUUCGUUUAAUAAAGAAAUAUUUGAUCUGAGCAGGAUACUGAAUACCAUAGUGUGUCAUUUCAUUCCUUGAGAAAGUAUUUGAAGAAAAUGACAUAUCUCAGCACUGUUUGUUGACCAUUUUGUUGUCACCCGCUGAGUGUUGUCAUUUCCAUAGCCAGUGGGCUGUAUUGAAUCAGACACAAGGAAUGGGUCAUUAACAGAAAUGGAGGACUUUCUGCAGCUUGUAGAGGUUGAAGAGGGAUUGUUUUAUCCCCUGCUACAUCAACAAAACUGUGUUUAAUGGUGACUUCAUUCAGUCGUGAUUUGGGGCUCUAGCCUUAUUUUCUGCAGAUGUAAAAUUACUUUAAAACAUAGAUAACCUAGAAUAGUGAAUUGUUUCUGCAAAAAAAGAGAGAGAGCCCUAUAUUGGACAAAGAUUGCAAAGCGCAGGUCAGGAUGAUUUAAAACAUCCAAUUUCUGGAUGAUUUGUUUACUUAUAAAAUUAAUUGAUCUUUAAAAGAAAUCUUUGCACUUUUUAAAAAUGUCAUUUGUUUGCACUCUGCUGAGAUUACUGAUAAUGUGGGCGACAAAGUUAACUGUUCCCUUUUUAAUUUCAAUAUCAUUUACAAUAUGCUUUCAGAUAACAUUGGAUGAAGAGAUUGCCAGUUUUAAAGUAUUGUUUGAGUGGUCAUUAGUAAAUGUGAGAUAUAUUUACCCUGGAUACAUUAUUUCUUGCAUUUAUAUUCCACCUCUGCUUCAAGGAGCACAAUGUAAUGUACGGGGUUCUCCCCCUCUCCAUUUCAGCCCCACAACAACCAUUUGGUGUAGGCUCGGCUGAGAGACAGCGACUGGUCCAAGGUCACCCAGUGAGAUUCACAGCUAAAUUAUUUAAUUAGAAUAGCAAUUAAAUACAACUAUACAUGGCACACACCAACCUACUGAGCCCAGUUAAUACCUGCUUCUUAUUCACUGUAAAUCUGGAAAACAGACACUGGAACAAUUACCUCGCUUGUUGCCUUAGUAUUGUCUUGUAAACUUUUUAAUUGGCUAAACAAACCCUUGGGAAGGGCAGCAGAAAAGAGACUGACAGUGGAACUGCAUGUUAUAGAAAAUGUAUGGCUUCUGGCAACUGGAACCCCUGGUUUUCUCCUGUCUCCUACACAAUGCCCACCACGAUGUUAUCACACUCCUGAUAAUUCCUGCUUCCUCUUCACUUAACUGGCUUCAAGUGGCAGGUGGAUUCAGAGUCCAGUGAAAUUAUCUUGUGCAUUUUGUAUUCCUAAGUGUUACCAGAGAAGGAAAGGAUGCAGGAGGUGCCGUUCUGAGAAAUAGCCGUGCAUUUUUCGCAAAGCCUGGUUCCAGCCAGAGUUGAGGAAUUUAUUUUUGCAGUUUUUCCUAUGGAGCAGCCAUGUUGUGGGAUUUCAGUGCCUUGUUAUCAGAAGAGAAAACCAGUUUGAAUUCUGUCACAGAGUGGGUGCAGUAAUUCUUUCGUUCCAUGAUUAAUUUUUAUUAUCUGAAAAGACCGAAGAACUUAUGGUCAUUCAUGGGAUUGGCUUUUGAACAAGUCCUUGAAAGGGAGGACAUUUUCUGAAGUAGACAAAGUUAAUGUAAAGCUUGUAUUCAUGUUCUGUAAUAUUAACAUUGUUAUGGUAUCGUACAAGUAGCCAAUGUGGUGGGCAGCUGAGAAGGAGGCUACAGGCAAGUGUCUGUAUUAUUUUAUUGUAUUGUUUUUGCUUGCAACUGUCUGUGAGUCAUGACAGUCCUAUUGGCUCCAUUGACGAGGAGGAACAGAAGCUAAAAAGGCUGUGAGGACGGUAGCUGAAAGAGGCUGAUUGGGAUAGCAAGAGGGAAAAGCUAGGAAAGGUAGACUAUCUGUUGUAGAGGGAUACAAUUUUGCCUUGGGAAUUCUCAGAUUUGCAAGUGAAUGAGCUGUGCAUUUUCAACAUCUGGGUUGAAGAGGCUGCUUAACUAAAGAGACGGGCCCACAAAAUUAGAGGAGUGUGCCCAGCUCACAUAGUCACUCUGUUAGAACAUGGAGGUUAAUUGAAAGAGAAGCUUCCUUUCUUUUUGGCCAAGAUCCAGUGAAAUACUUUAGGCAUGGUAAGGGCUUGUAUGAGCCUGCUGAUUUUUAUUUAUUUUUAACAGCUGCUUUUCAUACUAUAUAUGAUGCUUUUAAAAAUCACCCAGCUUGCUUAGGUUUGAAAAGUAUGUGACAUGUGAGUUUGCUAUGUGACAUGUGAUGCUUUUGUUUCGGGGGGGGGAAUAAUUUUGCAUAAACUAGUAGUAUAGGGGAGGGUUUAACUGAUGAAUUCCAUCAGCAGAAGUCCCUAAUGGGGCUCCCCCCAUGUCCCCUGCCCCCCCACCCCGUGGCCCCCAAAUUGGUUCAGGUGAGUCAGGAGAACCCCUGGAACAAUACACAGGAGAGAAGAGGGAAUAAUCAUUCUAUUUGACGAUUUAAAAUGUUCACCCUGAUGGAACAAUCACCUUAGUGAGGCGUGGAAUUCUUCCCAUAGUUCUUUGUAUCUGAAAGUUUAUUUUGUACAGCGUAUUAAUCUCAAACCAAUUAAGUUGCAAUUGUAAAAAUGUUUGCAGUCUUUAAAAUUGCCUUGAAAAAACAUUCGUGCAUUACAAACUCUAGACGCACCCCCCCAGGUGUGUCCAAAUUUACAUAUAUCAAUUUCUUCCAUAGUUAUUCAAGAGUAAACUACUUUUUUUAAGAUUAAAAAUAUUGUGGGUGAUAUAACUGCCAUUUGUGCUCCGAAAACAUUUUUCAUUUUUACUGCACCUGCAAAUCACCAAUACCGAAUUAAUUAAAAAAAAAGAGUUGCAUUCUGCAAGCUAUAUGUCGGCAUAAUGAAGCAUAGAUCGCUCGUAUAUUGUUCCUUAGUGGGAGAGAACUACCUGAGGUCUCAGCUACAUGACUAGAGGGCACAGAAAAUUGACACACAGCAGACAGGCAAUCGGGUUUAUCAACAAAGCCAGCAGUGGGGCCAGCAAAGACAAGCUGACAUGCAGAUGCGAUGGAUAAGAAUUCCAUCCAGAGAUUCUUGAGCAUAUGGAACCUGCAUCUGCCAGUGCUACUCCAGCAGUUGGCUGCCCAACCUUUAGCAGCUUCUGUAGAACUAACGUACAGCACAUCUAAGGCAGUACUCCCCACCCCCACCCUCCAAAAGUGUAAACUAGCUCUUCUAAAACUAAAUUCACACGCUUUGGUAAGGAAUGUCUGGGUCAAAACAUGACUGCUAAGAAUGCAUGAGCGUUCUUAUAUUGUGCCAUUUGGAAAAGAAAUAAGAUGCAGCUAGAUUGAAAUGGCACAAUGCAAAUAGGAACAGAUUGUGUGAGAUGUAUACGCUGUCAAGGUAGAUCCUGCUAGCUCAGUGUUGUCCACACUGACUACAAAUUGCUCUCUUCGGUUCUAAAAACGAGUCUUUCCCCACCUUCCCCAGAGAUGGGAGGGUGAGUCUGAAACCUUGGUCAUCUAGCAUGUGCCCUGCCACAGAGCUUCAGAGCCAUCAAAAGAGGCAGGUGAAGAGGUGGCUCAGCAUAUUACAGCUGCCAGACAACUUUGCUAUUCGAUAUUUCUAUGUAUAACACACGUAAACAUCUUGCCCACCCACUGAAUUCUGUAGAUGUGAUCGUUUCAUGUUUCUUGCUACCAUCUGAAAUGUGAUUAUGGGGGCACAAAAAGAUCCUUCUUGUACCAUAUCAGUUUCGUACUUAAAGCUUUCCAUUUAAUUUCCAUUUAAUUUUCUUUGCUCCCUGGUAUGUGUCUUUAGAGAGAAAGUGAGAUAUUUAUUUACAUUUAUUGAAUCUGUAUACCAUCCUCCAUCAGUAUAUUUUAUUUUAUUGUUAAUUGUGGAUUGCUUCUAAUUUUUGUUAUUUUAUCCAUCUUGAGCUAUGUGUUUUUGGAAUAGAAAUGUGGAAUAAAAAAUCUUAUAAUAAAUAAAUAAUUCAAAAUC